AUCUAUUCGACUAUAUAAGCUUCGACGACACACGUCACUUCGGGUCCUUCCAUCGAUACCCGUGUCUCAUGUGCGGCACGUUGCGCUUUUUCUUUGCUUCAAGUUUUUUUGUGCGUAGUUUCUAUAUAUUUUUUAAAGACUUCGUACGGUCUGGACACCAAGAAAGGAAAGAUGUUGUCAAUCAACGAUUCCUCCAAGAUACUAAAUCACCGGCCAUUUCAGUUGGACGAAUUGCGCAUUAAUCGAAGAUGAAAACCACUCGAAUGCGGUGUGUUCAAAUUGUGAUACCAUGCCAAAAAAUGUUGGUAAAGACAAGGUAGGUAAAAAUUCACAACUGAAGAGUUCGUAAUUAAAAGGAUAACAAAGUGCUACUUGAUGACCAUCCCUAGUAUUAAAGAUCUGAAACCACGAACAGAAGGAGCGAAACAAGGUGCAGCAAGGUGAAGAGGAAUUAACAGACGAAGAUAUUAAUGCCAGAAGUAACAGCAGCAGCACUUGGCUUUUCGGAAUUGGCAAGAAUAUGUUUUGAUCAGCAAAUUAAAUAGAAAUGUAUGUGAAUUUAAUUAAUGGAGCUUUUGACUUUGAAGAGCUUUUUCUCAAAGUUUUGGUGACCGGAAAUUUUUUUUAAAAAUUACCUCAAUACUCAGUUGACCUCAAACUUUUCUAGAAAAAUCCAAUUUUUUUUAAAAAAAUUCCAUGCAACUACCCCCAUUAUGACCUCAAUGACAUAAACUUUUUUCUAACAAAGAAGUAGAAAAAUUAACGUCUACUGUAAUUUUAUCUCCCAAGAACGAAGACGUUAAUAAAAUAAAUAAAAAAAUAUUGGAAUUUUUAGAAGGAGAAACUAGAAAAUAUCUAAGUUACAACAAAAUAACAAACGCAACAAAUGAAUAGAAAAUUCAAUAUCCCAUAGAAUUUUUGAACGAAUUAAAACCAUCAGGAAUUCCAAAUCAUUCCUGAAAAUAAAAGUUGGUGCCAUAAUAAUGCUCUUGAGGAACCUAAAUACCAAAAAAAGGACUUUGUAAUGGAACUAGAAUUUUAGUAACAGAAUUUUAUGUAAUUUAAUAUUUAAAAUUAAAUACUUACUACAAUAUUAUAACAAUAUAAUAUAAUGCAAUAAUAUUAUAUUAAUACAAAA